AUUGAACGCUGGCGGCAGGCCUAACACAUGCAAGUCGAACGAGUGGCGGACGGGUGAGUAAUGUCUGGGAAACUGCCCGAUGGAGGGGGAUAACUACUGGAAACGGUAGCUAAUACCGCAUACCAUCGGAUGUGCCCAGAUGGGAUUAGCUAGUAGGUGGGGUAACGGCUCACCUAGGCGACGAUCCCUAGCUGGUCUGAGAGGAUGACCGGCAACACGGGAACUGAGACACGGUCCAGACUCGUACGGGAGGCAGAAGGGGGGAAUAUUGCACAAUGGGCGAAAGCCUGAUGCAGCCAUGCCGCGUGUAUGAAGAAGGCCUUCGGGUUGUAAAUUACUUUCAGCGAGGAGGCGUUACGCGCAGAAGAAGCACCGGCUAACUCCGUGCAAGCAGCCGCGGUAUAC
rnacentral:rRNA from 1 species